GGGGUGCUCGAGUGGCGAACGGGUGAGUAACACGUGAGUAACCUGCCCUUGACUUUGGGAUAACUUCAGGAAACUGGGGCUAAUACCGGAUAGGAGCUCCUGCUGCAUGGUGGGGGUUGGAAAGUUUCGGCGGUUGGGGAUGGACUCGCGGCUUAUCAGUUUGUUGGUGGGGUAGUGGCUUACCAAGGCUUUGACGGGUAGCCGGCCUGAGAGGGUGACCGGCCACAUUGGGACUGAGAUACGGCCCAG
rnacentral:rRNA from 1 species